UACGUAGGGUGCAAGCGUUGUCCGGAAUUAUUGGGCGUAAAGAGCUCGUAGGCGGUUUGUCGCGUCGGCUGUGAAAGCCCGGAGCUCAACUCCGGGUCUGCAGUCGAUACGGGCAGACUUGAGUGUUGCAGGGGAGACUGGAAUUCCUGGUGUAGCGGUGGAAUGCGCAGAUAUCAGGAGGAACACCAAUGGCGAAGGCAGAUCUCUGGGCCGUAACUGACGCUGAGGAGCGAAAGCAUGGGGAGCAACAGG
rnacentral:rRNA from 1 species